rnacentral:lncRNA from 1 species
ACCGGACGCGCCCGCUUCUCGCUGGAGUGCGCACCGAGCGGCAGUGACUUCGCCGCUGCUGUAGUUCCCCGGCUGGAUGCGGUGACUGGUGCCAGUGCUCAGGCGCCCGCUGCCCUUGACCUCCCGCCCCGCGAGCCCUAACUCAGCGCAGGAGGACCGGCUGCCGCCGCCGCCGCCGCCAGAGCCUUGGCUGCCCAGUUGCCAGUCCUACCACGGUCGGAGGUAACCUUCCUGGCUCCAGUCACAUGGCCAGAUAAGGUGGUGUGUGUGGGCAUGAAUUAUGUGGACCACUGCAAAGAACAGAACGUGCCCGUGCCCAAGGAGCCCAUCAUCUUCAGCAAGUUUGCCAGCUCCAUCGUGGGGCCCUAUGAUGAGGUGGUCCUCCCACCACAGAGCCAGGAGGUAGAUUGGGAAGUGGAGCUGGCCGUGGUCAUUGGAAAGAAAGGCAAGCACAUCAAGAUCCACACAACUUAAAGAUCUGCUGUCGAGUGAAUGGGGAAGUGGUCCAGAGCAGCAACACCAACCAGAUGGUAUUCAAGACAGAGGACCUGAUAGCCUGGGUGUCCCAGUUUGUUACCUUUUACCCAGGGGAUGUCAUCCUGACUGGGACCCCCCCACCUCCACCCAGGUGUCGGUGUAUUCAGGAAACCUCCUGUCUUUCUCAAGGUCUCUGAAGGUCCAGACAGCACUGAUGGCGAGCUUUGGGUCCGCACACUCUGGAAAGAAGAGAGAAGUGAAGGCUCUAGGUAGGGAGAACAGAGAGCCACUGGGCACAGGCUUCUCUCCUCUUGUUUAAAGAAGCCCAGGGAGGGAUAGAGCUCUGACUGGACAGAAGACUGUACUCUGCAGCCUGCCUUCCUAGAGUUGGGUUGUCACUGUCCUGCAGGGGGCAGCAGCCACCAGCAAACACCACUGCCUGCAGGAGCCUGGGCUGACUGGUUGGGACUCACCGAAGAUCCCUUCUUCCUGGGCGGUGGCCUGCAGGAACUGGAACAGCUGCUCUGUGUAGCCCAACUCUGCAGAAGAGAGAAGACCUAGACCUGGCACCCAGCACAGACACAGCCUGCCUCGAGGACUGCAAGGGAACAAGGGCCUCACCAGUAUCGGGCAGCUGGCCCUGGCGGAGGAAGGCGGCAGCCUGUGCAAAGGCCUUGAGCAGCGGGCUGAGCAGGCGGCAGAGGAAAAGAAAGAAAUCUGGGCAGUGUGACUGCUGGCUGAGCUGGAGGGGACAGGCCGGGGUGAGUGCAGCUCCCCACCGCCUCCCUACCACCUCCCUCCAGGGGCAGCUUUUUGAAACACACCCUGAAGUACCGGCCGUCAGCCUCUCCGAAGUCAUCACUGUCACUAUCAGUAAAGUCCCCACUCGGUUUCCACAGCA